CGGAGCGUAGCGCAGCCUGGUAGCGCACCUCGUUCGGGACGAGGGGGUCGGAGGUUCGAAUCCUCUCGCUCCGACCA
rnacentral:tRNA from 6 species